AACGAACGCUGGCGGCAUGCCUAACACAUGCAAGUCGAACGAGACCUUCGUGUCUAGUUGCUCACGCGUGCGUCACGCGUGGGAACCUGCCCGUAUGUUUGGAAUAACUCCCCGACAUGGGUGCUAAUACCGGGUAAUUUCUUCUGAUCCAAGAUUUAUCGUCCGUGGAUGGGCCCGCGUUGGAUUGGCUUGUUGGUAGUGUAAAAGCCUCUCAAGGCUACGCUCCAUAGCUGGGCUGAGAGGAUGAACAGCCACACUGAGACUGGGACACGGCCCAGAAUACUACGGGAGGGAGCAGAGGGUAAUAUUGGAAAAUGGCGGAAGGCAUGAAGCAGCAAUGCCGCGUGAGUGAUGAAGGCCGUAGGGUUGUAAAGCUCUUUUACCCGGGAUGAUAAUGACAGUACCGGGAGAAUAAGCUCCGGCUAACUCCGUG
rnacentral:rRNA from 1 species